CCUACGGGAGGCAGCAGUCGAGAAUCAUUCACAAUGGGGGAAACCCUGAUGGUGCGACGCCGCGUGGGGGAAUGAAGGUCUUCGGAUUGUAAACCCCUGUCAUGUGGGAGCAAAUUAAAAAGAUAGUACCACAAGAGGAAGAGACGGCUAACUCUGUGCCAGCAGCCGCGGUAAUACAGAGGUCUCAAGCGUUGUUCGGAAGCACUGGGCGUAAAGCGUGCGUAGGCUGUUUCGUAAGUCGUGUGUGAAAGGCGAGGGCUCAACCCGCGGACGGCACAUGAUACUGCGAGACUAGAGUAAUGGAGGGGGAAGCGGAAUUCUCGGUGUAGCAGUGAAAUGCGUAGAUAUCGAGAGGAACACUCGUGGCGAAGGCGGGUUCCUGGACAUUAACUGACGCUGAGGCACGAAGGCCAGGGGAGCGAAAGGGAUUAGAUACCCUUGUAGUC
rnacentral:rRNA from 1 species